rnacentral:rRNA from 1 species
GCAUAUUUAACAUGCCCCUAGGAGGGGAAUAGCCACCUGAAAAGGUGAUUAAUACCCCAUAGUAGCUUCCUCUGAUGGGGAAGCUUUAAAGGUUUAUUCCGCCUAGGGAUUGGAAUAUGUUCUACUAGCUAGUUGGUGAGGUAAAGGCUCACCAAGGCAAUGAUAGAUAGCUGGUCUUAGAGGAUGAACAGCCACAAUGGGAUUGAGAUACGGCCCAUAUUCUUACGGGAAGCAGCAGUAGGGAAUUUUCCACAAUGGGCGAAAGCCUGAUGGAGCAAUGCCAUGUGAACGAUGAAGGCCUAUUUGGUCGUAAAGUUCUUUUAGAGGGGAAGACUUUGACGGUACCCUCUGAAUAAGUGACAGCAAACUAUGUGCCAGCAGCUGCGGUAAUACAUAGGUCGCGAGCGUUAUUCGGUUUUAUUGGGCGUAAAGCAAGCGCAGGCGGAUGAACAAGUUCUGUGUUAAAAGCAGCUGCUCAACAGUUGUUUGCACCGAAUACUGUUUGUCUAGAAUGUGGUAGGAAGUUUUGGAAUUAAAUAUGGAGCGGUGGAAUGUGUAGAUAUAUUUAAGAACACCAGAGGCGAAGGCGAAAACUUAGGCCAUCAUUGACGCUUAGGCUUGAAAGUGUGGGUAGCAAAUGGGAUUAGAUACCCCAGUAGUCCACACCGUAAACGAUGGGUAUUGGAUGUCGGAUCUUGAGAUUCGGUGUUGU